GAGUUUGAUCAUGGCUCAGGACGAACGCUGGCGGCGUGCCUAAUACAUGCAAGUAGAACGCUGAAGAGAGGAGCUUGCUCUUCUUGGAUGAGUUGCGAACGGGUGAGUAACGCGUAGGUAACCUGCCUUGUAGCGGGGGAUAACUAUUGGAAACGAUAGCUAAUACCGCAUAACAAUAGGUGACACAUGUCAUUUAUUUGAAAGGGGCAAUUGCUCCACUACAAGAUGGACCUGCGCUGUAUUAGCUAGUAGGUGAGGUAACGGCUCACCUAGGCGACGAUACAUAGCCGACCUGAGAGGGUGAUCGGCCACACUGGGACUGAGACACGGCCCAGACUCCUACGGGAGGCAGCAGUAGGGAAUCUUCGGCAAUGGGGGCAACCCUGACCGAGCAACGCCGCGUGAGUGAAGAAGGUUUUCGGAUCGUAAAGCUCUGUUGUAAGUCAAGAACGAGUGUGAGAGUGGAAAGUUCACACUGUGACGGUAGCUUACCAGAAAGGGACGGCUAACUACGUGCCAGCAGCCGCGGUAAUACGUAGGUCCCGAGCGUUGUCCGGAUUUAUUGGGCGUAAAGCGAGCGCACGCGGUUUGAUAAGUCUGAAGUUAAAGGCUGUGGCUCAACCAUAGUUCGCUUUGGAAACUGUCAAACUUGAGUGCAGAAGGGGAGAGUGGAAUUCCAUGUGUAGCGGUGAAAUGCGUAGAUAUAUGGAGGAACACGGGUGGCGAAAGCGGCUCUCUGGUCUGUAACUGACGCUGAGGCUCGAAAGCGUGGGGAGCGAACAGGAUUAGAUACCCUGGUAGUCCACGCCGUAAACGAUGAGUGCUAGGUGUUGGAUCCUUUCCGGGAUUCAGUGCCGCAGCUAACGCAUUAAGCACUCCGCCUGGGGAGUACGACCGCAAGGUUGAAACUCAAAGGAAUUGACGGGGGCCCGCACAAGCGGUGGAGCAUGUGGUUUAAUUCGAAGCAACGCGAAGAACCUUACCAGGUCUUGACAUCCCGAUGCUAUUUCUAGAGAUAGAAAGUUACUUCGGUACAUCGGUGACAGGUGGUGCAUGGUUGUCGUCAGCUCGUGUCGUGAGAUGUUGGGUUAAGUCCCGCAACGAGCGCAACCCCUAUUGUUAGUUGCCAUCAUUCAGUUGGGCACUCUAGCGAGACUGCCGGUAAUAAACCGGAGGAAGGUGGGGAUGACGUCAAAUCAUCAUGCCCCUUAUGACCUGGGCUACACACGUGCUACAAUGGUUGGUACAACGAGUUGCGAGUCGGUGACGGCAAGCUAAUCUCUUAAAGCCAAUCUCAGUUCGGAUUGUAGGCUGCAACUCGCCUACAUGAAGUCGGAAUCGCUAGUAAUCGCGGAUCAGCACGCCGCGGUGAAUACGUUCCCGGGCCUUGCACACACCGCCCGUC
rnacentral:rRNA from 1 species